GUCACUUGCCUGGCUGUGAUGUUGUCAAUCUUCUUGAUCUUGAUCUUCUCUCUAGCCAUCCUCUAGCUAGCUCUGGGACCGUUGAGGAGCUUUGGGUUGAGUUAGGGUCGAACUAAAAGCCAGCCAAGUAGAGAAAGUAGAACCUGCACGGUAAAGAGAAAGGAGAAGACUGCAGAGAGAGUUGCUCAGUAGGUAAAUGUGUUCAAGAAAGGAAAGGUUGCA
rnacentral:misc_RNA from 1 species